UACGUAGGGCGCAAGCGUUGUCCGGAAUUAUUGGGCGUAAAGAGCUCGUAGGUGGCGUGUCGCGUCUGCCGUGAAAGCCCAUGGCUUAACUGUGGGUCUGCGGUGGAUACGGGCAGGCUGGAGGCUGGUAGGGGCAAGCGGAAUUCCUGGUGUAGCGGUGAAAUGCGCAGAUAUCAGGAGGAACACCGGUGGCGAAGGCGGCUUGCUGGGCCAGUUCUGACGCUGAGGCACGAAAGCGUGGGGAGCAAACAGG
rnacentral:rRNA from 1 species